CCUACGGGUGGCAGCAGUGGGGAAUAUUGCACAAUGGGGGAAACCCUGAUGCAGCGACGCCGCGUGAGUGAAGAAGUAUUUCGGUAUGUAAAGCUCUAUCAGCAGGGAAGAAAAACGACGGUACCGGACGAAGAAGCCCCGGCUAACUACGUGCCAGCAGCCGCGGUCAUACGUAGGGGGCAAGGGUGAUCCGGAUUUACUGGGUGUAAAGGGAGCGUAGACGGCGCGGCAAGUCUGAAGGGAAAGGCAGGGGCUUAACCCCUGAACUGCUUUGGAAACGGCCAUGCUAGAGUGCUGGAGUGCGAAGUGGAAUUCCUAGUGUAGCGGUGAAAUGCGUAGAUAUUAGGAGGAACACCAGUGGCGGCGGCGGCUUACUGGACAGUAACUGACGUUGAGGCUCGAACGCGUGGGGAGCAAACAGGAUUAGAUAUCCCAGUAGUC
rnacentral:rRNA from 1 species